rnacentral:tRNA from 1 species
UUCUGGAUAGCUCAGUUGGUAGAGCAUAAGACUCUUGAUCUUGUGGGUUCGAGCCUUGACAAA